UCCUGACUCCAGGGUCAGUGCUCUAACCACUGUACCACCCAGCUGAUAAAGGGAACUUCAAGUGGAAGAAACUCCCUGCAUCAAAUAUAGGUCUAAACUGGGCCCUCACAAGCCUGCAAGAUAGGAAGUACAUCACAGAGUAGGGGAGACCAACCAGACAGAACAAGGCUCUUUCCAUGGGAUGAAAGGCCUUCAGAUACUGGAUGACUGUCGAUCUUGUGGCCUCCCCGCUAAACAAUCCCUUCCAAAAAAAUGGCCCACACACAGGGAAACUACAAGAUGAUGAAGAUGACGAUUUGCACCACAUUUAACCCCUCCAAGCCAUUCUAUACCGUCACUGAGACGCACACCUAUUCCUGCAAGUAUAAGCGUCAGCGACAGCGUCAAAGCCAGGGUCCGAGCCCGAGCCCGACCCAGACCCAGACUCAGACCCAGAGCCAGAGCCAGAGCCCGACCCCGAGCCCGUGCACAGACCCGUGCAUAUGCCCAUGCCCGUGUCCUUACCCAUGCCCAUGCCCUAACCCUUGCCCAUGCCUGUGCCUGUGCCCAAACCUGUGCCCAAGUCCGUGCCUAAGUCCGUGCACAAGCCCGUGUGCGAGUCCGUGUGCGAGCCCGUGUGCGAGCCCAUGUGCAAGCCCGUGCCCGAGCCCGACCCCGAGCCUGUGCCCGAGCCCGUGCCCAAGCCCGUGCCCAAGCCCAGGCCCAAGCCUAGGGCCCAGCCUCAGCCCGAGCCCGAGCCCGAGCCCGUGCCCAUGCCCGUGCCCGUGCCCAUGCCCACCUCGACAAAUCUGCGUCAACACCUACGAAUGCGACAACAGAGGAAGCAAAGGCACCAAAAGCAGCAGCAGCAGAUGCACCAAAUGCUCGUGCAGCUGCUUGUCCCAGUCAGUCCGGAUGCCCAACAAACAACGGCACAGAACCAAGGAUGUCUAUGUGGUCUCGCGCCCACACUCCCACUGACUGGGAGAGCUGGCUCUCCUUGGCACACCUGUGUACCCAAGAAAAGACUCUGGCGGAACACACUGGGCGUGGUCGGCCAAGUCUUGGGAUCUGGCAAGAUAGGAAGAAUUUCUAAGACUUUGUAAACAGCUGGCCUGUGAUGAGUUACAGUUGGUUCUUCUGGCAAACAAAAGGGAAAAGACCAAUCUGGCAUCAAUGGAAGGAUUUCAAAAGAGUAUUCAGGGAUGAGAAGAGGAAUCUGGCAGCAAUGGAAGGAUUUCAAAAGAAGAAGUAAGGCAGAGGACUUUGGGAUCCCCAAGUGUGUGCUCCUGCCCGCCAUCCCAUCAGGAUAUUCCUGUAGGAGGAGCCUGUAGGACAAAUGUUCAUCAGAUUGGAAGCUUUCCCUGGGGCCUGAAGAGGUGGUGAUUAAAAAGGCCAGUCCCCUGAAAGUGACAACAUAUCUAAACAAAAAAGAGAUUCAAACUCCACGGAUGGAUAAUUGGAAGAAGAGAAACAGAAAAAAGCUACAACAAACCAACCAGAAAACUGUUCUCAAAACAAAGGCCUUGGAAAACAGCAGAAA